rnacentral:rRNA from 1 species
GGUGAACGCUGGCGGUAGGCCUAACACAUGCAAGUCGAACGGCAGCACAGUAAGAGCUUGCUCUUACGGGUGGCGAGUGGCGGACGGGUGAGGAAUACAUCGGAAUCUACUUUUUCGUGGGGGAUAACGUAGGGAAACUUACGCUAAUACCGCAUACGACCUACGGGUGAAAGCAGGGGAUCUUCGGACCUUGCGCGAUUGAAUGAGCCGAUGUCGGAUUAGCUAGUUGGCGGGGUAAAGGCCCACCAAGGCGACGAUCCGUAGCUGGUCUGAGGGGAUGAUCAGCCACACUGGAACUGAGACACGGUCCAGACUCCUACGGGAGGCAGCAGUGGGGAAUAUUGGACAAAGGGCGCAAGCCUGAUCCAGCCAUACCGCGUGGGUGAAGAAGGCCUUCGGGUUGUAAAGCCCUUUUGUUGGGAAAGAAAAGCAGCAGGUUAAUACCCCGCUGUUCUGACGGUACCCAAAGAAUAAGCACCGGCUAACUUCGUG